rnacentral:rRNA from 1 species
UACAACUUUCAACAACGGAUCUCUUGGCUCUUGCAUCGAUGAAGAACGCAGCGAAAUGCGAUAAGUAAUGUGAAUUGCAGAAUUCAGUGAAUCAUCGAAUCUUGAACGCACCUG